AUGGAUGAGAACAGGAGGAACUCCAACUCCCAGCCCUCCAGCCCCUUGCCCAGCUGGCUGGAAGACGAGUCACUUAGAGAGCACUGGCUGGGGACAGUGGGUGAGUCAGACCUGCCACUGUCAGGGACUGAGGAGGGGUCCUUCGGCCACGGGGAUGACAACUGGAAUUACGACACCGAUCAAGACCUUUCCCAAUUGGGAGAUGUUACCGAAUGGGAAGAUGAGACAGAAGAUGAGACAGAAGAUGAGACAGAAGAUGAGACAGGAGAUGAGACAGAAGAUGAGACAGGAGAUGAGACAGGAGAUGAGACAAGAGAUGAGACAGGAGAUGAGACACUUCAAGAACUCUAUGAAUGGCAAGAAGUGAGAGUCCAAGAAUGUUCCCACCAGAGAGCCAGGAGACCUCAAGAGCUCUACAGAUUUGAAGAAGACGUGAGAGUCCGAGAACUUUCCCAGUGGUGUUGUGGGAGACACCCGGAGCUGUACCACCGGGAAGAGACUGUGAGACGCCAGGAGCUGCACCAAUGGGAAGAAGGUGGUAUGAGAUACCAUGAGCUGACCCAAUGGGAAGAACAUUUGACAAUCCGAGAGCUGCCUCAAAGGGAAGAACGUGUGAGAACCCGAGAGCUGCCCCAAAGGGAAGAACGUGUGAGAACCCGAGAGCUGCCCCAAAGAGAAGAAGAAGAGACCUAUUCAGAGCUGUCCCAAUGGGGAGGUUUGAGAGGCCAAGAACUUCCUCAGUGGGAAGAUGUGGGACUCCAAGACCUGAUCCAGCAGGAAAGUCAGAGAUACCAUGACCUGCCUCAGCAGGAAGAAGAUGUGGGAGCCCGUGGACUGUACCAAUGGGAAGACAAGAGAGAUUCAGAGCUCUUCCAAGUCGUAGACAAGACAGACAAGGAUCAACCCCAGAAAGAAGAGUCCAGUGCCCAAGAGCUGCCCCAAAGGGAAGGUGUGAGUGACAAAAGGCUGUCUCAGGGGGGAGCUGAUGUUGGUUACAGCAGUUGGGACAAACCCGUGAGUGCUGGGGACACCCUGGCUGUUCCCCAGGAGAGGCCCAGCUCUCCCAGCAGUGUGGGCACAGCGGUGGCAGCAGAGGCAGCCCAGGACCUGCCCAGUCCAGCUCCUGUCCCGCUGAGUCCCACGCAGGCUGAGCCAGCAGCUCCUGCCCCAGAUGGAGCUGCUGAGCAGGAGGGGGCCCAGGGCUGUGGCUCCUGA
rnacentral:lncRNA from 1 species